CCCUGUCCCUCUCCCUUUUCACUCCCCUCUUUCUCUCUCUCCCUCUCCCUCUCCCCCUUUCCCUCUCCCUCUUUCUCUCUCACAUACUCACACACACGCAUGCACAGAGUAUGCACACACAAAGUAUGCACACAGGCACACACACUCUCCUUCCCACACACACUCCCUGGACUUAGAACCCCACAGAGAAUGUCUGCCCGCCCUGGUGUUCCGUUAUUCCAGAUGAUGCUGGAAGCCAGCGUGGGCUCCGGUUGCCCAGGGACAUGAGAGCCAGGCGUGCGGUGAAGCCGGCUGAGGUGCGGGCAGAGGAGCUGCUGACAGCAGCUGAUUGAGAAAAGGCACUGGUGUGAGUCCCCUGCUCAGCCUCACCCACCGCCAGAAGCAACGCUUGGGUCCCAUGCGGACGGUGCUCCCUGCUCCACACAUGAGUGCGGGCAGCCGCUGUGACACCCGCAGUUCAGCGUCCUCCCUCCUGAGAGCAGCUGUUACAAGUGCAGCGCGUCCCGUUUCGCCUUUUCUUCUCGCUUGGUUGGUAAUUGUCCCAAAGCCACUGGACCAAGGAUGAGCGUGAGUGUGCAUGUUCAUGUGAUACCCGGACGUGGUUGAGCUGUCAGCAGGCCUGGAAAACGCCUAUGCAGUUCAGGUAUGGUGACAGCCUGUGCGGUUAGGUAUGGUAAAGGUCUAUGCGGUUCAGGUAUGGUAACAGCCUGUGCAGUUCAGGUAUGGUAACAGCCUGUGGGGUUCAGGUAUGGUAACAGCCUGUGGGGUUCAGGUAUGGUAACAGCCUGUGCAGUUCAGGUAUGGUAACAGCCUGUGCAGUCAGGUAUGGUAACAGCCUGUGCAGUGCAGGUAUGGUAACAGCCUAUGGGGUUCAGGUAUGGUAACAGCCUGUGCGGUUCAGGUAUGGUAACAGCCUGUGCAGUGCAGGUAUGGUAACAGCCUAUGGGGUUCAGGUAUGGUAACAGCCUGUGCGGUUCAGGUAUGGUAACAGCCUGUGCAGUGCAGGUAUGGUAACAGCCUAUGGGGUUCAGAUAUGGUAACAGCCUGUGCGGUUCAGGUAUGGUAACAGCCGAGAAACUACAGGAACCAGACGGAGACCGUGUGCGCCUGAGGAGCCUGCCUGCCUUCUGUGCUGACGCGUCUCCUGCAGAGGCCGCCUCGCCGCCCGGCUCAGGUCCCAGCUCACACCCCUCCGGAAGGCCGGGGUCAGGGGCCUGGAGCCCCCUGGAGCCAGGGGCGCCCCUCGGUCGUUGCACAGCCCAGAGGUUUGCCCUCUUUCUGAAGGGGGUCCUGGCAGACCCCAGCACCCUGAGCUGGAAGAAAGGAGACGGGGUCCCUGGCAGCACGGCUGAGAGCAGGCCCCUGUUCUCCAGAGCUGCGUCCCAGGAGCCCUCCGACCCGGGCGGACAAGGGCACAGCAGCCUCAGUUGCUGAAAGGACGACAUAGUGUCUGUGCUAAGACUGCUCUCGUGGUCCCCGUGGCCUGGGACUUAUCUGGGAUUGUCCCUCUCGCCCAUCACCCUAGCUCACGCCAUUUUCCCGUUUUCUUCACUCUGAUUUGGGGGAAAGGAAGAUACUUUACAACAAGUGAAAAACAAGCACUUUGAACUUCAUGCAACUGGAGGGUUAAACCUGCAGGACGCAGUGCUGCUGGAGUGCCAAACCUCAGUGCUGGGUCCUCCUUCCUCCUGCGGGCUCUCCCUCAGCCGGCCUGGAGACAUGCUGUGUGCGCGGGGACACGCGGUGUGCCUGGAAACACGCGGUGUGCGCGGGGACACGCGGUGUGCCUGGAGACAUGCUGUGUGCCUGGGGACACGCGGUGUGCGCGGGGACACGCGGUGCGCCUGGAGACACGCGGUGUGCGCGGGGACACGCGGUGCGCCUGGAGACACGCGGUGUGCGCGGGGACACGCGGUGUGCCUGGAGACACGCGGUGUGCGCGGGGACACGCGGUGUGCCUGGAGACACGCGGUAUGCCUGGAGACACGCGGUGUGCGCGGGGAUACGCGGUGUGCCUGGAGACACGCGGUGUGCGCGGGGACACGCGGUGCGCCUGGAGACACGCGGUGUGCGCGGGGACACGCGGUGUGCCUGGAGACACGCGGUGUGCGCGGGGACACGCGGUGUGCCUGGAGACACGCGGUGUGCCUGGAGACACGUGGUGUGCGCAGAGAGAUGCGGUGUGCCCGGGGACACGUGGGGCUGGGCGGCAAGGCCUGGCUCUGCAGCCUGGAAGAACUCGCCCUGUCUGAAGCAGCGGCCCUGGCACAGCACGGCUGGUGCAGAGGCAGCUGCCAGAGCGCCGGGCCUGAGCCCAGUGUGGGCCCAGCUCAGCAGGAAGCGUCUUCACCCGCCUCCCGGUUCUCCUGCUGUGGAAGCUGGGGGCGGGGGACGCUGAGCGCCCCGCUCUCCGCUGCAGAGGCCUUCGCCCCGGACGCUCCCAGGGCCCUCAGUCCGGUUAAUGCUGGGCCGGCGCCGUUCCGUGCUCUCCAGUCCACUGUGGUCCACGUGGGGUGCCAGUCAUGGCCGCUGAUGCCCUCAGCAGUGGUCACCCUCUCUCUCCAGAAAUCUCUACAGCUACUGGCAACUACCGAGUUACAGACGAUUGUUCUGAGCGAUUUUUACAAAUUUACCCCAACACACAUAAACUCUAAUUUGCGUUCAGAAUUAUCCUUCAUCCACAUCUAAGGCCAGGUAGAUUUACACUGUGUGACAUUAAAUGACUUUCCUAGUGGUUGGGAGGAACCAAGCCGAGAUGUUUGUAAAAACAAAAAGUGGGGGUGGGGGAGGCGGACUGCAACGUCCAGGCCAUUUUUUUCCUUGGGUGAGUCAGCUGCUCCCAAGCGGAAAGGCUGGCCACUGGUGACUGCCAACAUGCCCGAUGGACCAGGUCACCAUGUGUGGCCAGUGCCAGGGUCCCAGCUCCCUUCCUGGGUGCCCAGCCUGAGAUGGCCACCCAUGCCGUCCUGGAGAGAAGCAGAGAGGGCACUGUGCCCAUUCAUAGUGCCCAGGCCAGGCUGCUGACCUGCUGGAGGAGUGGUGCCCUGGGCCAGUGCGUGGGGCCAGAUUCUGGUGUCUUAGCUGAGCGUGGGAAGCAGGGUCUACUCCCGAGUGGCAGUGGCUCUAAGGAAACCACCAAUGGGGUUACAGAAACAGGGACAGACGCCAAACCGGGAAAUGCUGUUUGGGGUCCAGGGAACUCCGGCACCUAUUAGAGCAAUCCUGGUCCUGGACGAGAGAAGUUGUCCAACCCUAGGCUAUAUAUGUCACAAUUGUUUUUGACCCCCCCCAGUAGCUUUUGUAUUCAUCAAAUGGAAACGUUGCCCCUUUCGUAUUGGGGUCAUUCAAGAGCUGCACUUACUCUGGGUUCCUGCUAACUAUGCACAUCUCAGAGGAUGGCACACUAACUAUUUUUCUAUCUACAACACAGGUGAUUGGGCGGGGAGGCUGGGUUACACCUUCAUGUGGCCAAUGGCUUAGCUUCUACCUUGAGAGACGAAAGGGAAACUGUACACUUGAAUUUUAACCCACCAUUGGCUAGCUUGUGCCAGAAGGAACACACAUCAAAGAUCCAAGAAGCAAAACUGAUCACUAGCUUAAUUUGGGGACUCCCUGUGGGAGGAGUUAUCUUGUCUAGAACACACACACCUACGAGUAGACUGUGAGCUGGUUUCUUGGCAACCAGGUCUUAAAAGCCCUUUAAAAUGUUCUGGACAGCACAACUCCUGGGUCCGUAUGGUUGAUGUAAGUAUAACUAAGUAGUGAAAUUGUAUGGUAUAUGUCUACAUGCCAAUAGUGUACACCUGUAUGUGGGAUUUGCUAAUGUAACCAUUUCAAUAAAAACCUAUUGAAAAAGC